rnacentral:rRNA from 1 species
ACGGAAGGCAGCAGUGGGGAAUAUUGGACAAUGGGCGCAAGCCUGAUCCAGCGACGCCGCGUGAGUGAAGAAGUAUUUCGGUAUGUAAAGCUCUAUCAGCAGGGAAGAUAAUGACGGUACCUGACUAAGAAGCCCCGGCUAAAUACGUGCCAGCAGCCGCGGUAGUACGUAUGGUGCAAGCGUUAUCCGGAUUUACUGGGUGUAAAGGGAGCGUAGACGGCAUAGCAAGCCAGAUGUGAAAUGCGGGGGCUCAACCCCUGAACUGCAUUUGGAACUGUUAAGCUAGAGUAUCGGAGAGGUAAGUGGAAUUCCUAGUGUAGCGGUGAAAUGCGUAGAUAUUAGGAGGAACACCAGUGGCGAAGGCGGCUUACUGGACGAUAACUGACGUUGAGGCUCGAAAGCGUGGGGAGCAAACAGGAUUAGAUACCCUGGUA